GUGCCCUUUUAAGGUUGUCAAGGUACUUUAAGAGGCUAACACAGAAGGGUAAAGGAACUCUCCAAAAAACCCCUGGAGGAGACUGUACACCUCCUUCUUGGAUCCUGUCUGGAGUCACAGAA
rnacentral:snoRNA from 2 species